rnacentral:rRNA from 1 species
GACGAACGCUGGCGGCGUGCUUAACACAUGCAAGUCGAACGGUAAGGCCUUUCGGGGUACACGAGUGGCGAACGGGUGAGUAACACGUGGGUGAUCUGCCCUGCACUUCGGGAUAAGCCCGGGAAACUGGGUCUAAUACCGGAUAGGACUGCGCGGUGCAUGCCGUGUGGUGGAAAGAUUUAUCGGUGCAGGAUGGGCCCGCGGCCUAUCAGCUUGUUGGUGGGGUAAUGGCCUACCAAGGCGACGACGGGUAGCCGGCCUGAGAGGGCGACCGGCCACACUGGGACUGAGACACGGCCCAGACUCCUACGGGAGGCAGCAGGGGGGAAUAUUGCACAAUGGGCGCAAGCCUGAUGCAGCGACGCCGCGUGAGGGAUGACGGCCUUCGGGUUGUAAACCUCUUUCGGCAGGGACGAAGCGUGAGUGACGGUACCUGCAGAAGAAGCACCGGCCAACUACGUG